AUUGAACGCUGGCGGCAGGCCUAACACAUGCAAGUCGAACGGUAACAGGAAGCAGCUUGCUGCUUCGCUGACGAGUGGCGGACGGGUGAGUAAUGUCUGGGAAACCUGCCUCACACAGGGGGAUAACAGUUGGAAACGGCUGCUAAUACCGCAUAAGCGCACAGUACCGCAUGGUACAGUGUGAAAAACUCCGGUGGUAUGAGAUGGACCCGCGUCUGAUUAGCCAGUUGGCGGGGUAACGGCCCACCAAAGCGACGAUCAGUAGCCGACCUGAGAGGGUGACCGGCCACAUUGGGACUGAGACACGGCCCAAAACUCCUACGGGAGGCAGCAGUGGGGAAUAUUGCACAAUGGGGGAAACCCUGAUGCAGCGACGCCGCGUGAGU
rnacentral:rRNA from 1 species